rnacentral:rRNA from 1 species
AUUGAACGCUGGCGGCAGGCCUAACACAUGCAAGUCGAACGGUAACAGGGAUCAGCUUGCUGAUUCGCUGACGAGUGGCGGACGGGUGAGUAAUGUCUGGGAAACUGCCUGAUGGAGGGGGAUAACUACUGGAAACGGUAGCUAAUACCGCAUAACGUCGCAAGACCAAAGAGGGGGACCUUCGGGCCUCUUGCCAUCGGAUGUGCCCAGAUGGGAUAGCUAGUAGGUGGGGUAACGGCUCACCUAGGCGACGAUCCCUAGCUGGUCUGAGAGGAUGACCAGCCACACUGGAACUGAGACACGGUCCAGACUCCUACGGGAGGCAGCAGUGGGGAAUAUUGCACAAUGGGCGCAAGCCUGAUGCAGCCAUGCCGCGUGUAUGAAGAAGGCCUUCGGGUUGUAAAGUACUUUCAGCGGGGAGGAAGGGAGUAAAGUUAAUACCUUUGCUCAUUGACGUUACCCGCAGAAGAAGCACCGGCUAACUCCGUG